rnacentral:tRNA from 1 species
GGAGUACUGGCACAGUGGGUAAGGAACUGGGCUUGUAACCGAAAGGUCAUAGGUUCGAUUCCUGGGUAGGGCA